rnacentral:rRNA from 1 species
AGAGUUUGAUCCUGGCUCAGAGUGAACGCUGGCGGCAGGCCUAACACGUGCAAGUCGAACGGCAGCACAGUAAGAGCUUGCUCUUAUGGGUGGCGAGUGGCUGGACGUGGUGAGGAAUACAUCGGAAUCUACUCUUUCGUGGUGUGUGAUAACUGUAGUGGAAACUUACGCUAAUACCUGCAUACGACCUACGUGGUGAAAGCGGAGUGACCUUCGGGCUUCGCGCGAUUGAAUGAGCCGAUGUCGGAUUAGCUAGUUGGCGGGGUAAAGGCCCACCAAGGCGACGAUCCUGUAGCUGGUCUGAGAGNGAUUGAUCAGCCACACUGGAACUGAGACACGGUCCAGACUCCUACGGGAGGCAGCAGUGGGGGAAUAUUUGGACAAUGGGCUGCAAGCCUGAUCCAGCCAUGCCGGCGUGGGUGAAGAACGGCCUUCGGGUGUAAACGCCCUUUUGUUGGGAAAGAAAAGCAGUCGGUUAAUACCCGAUUGUUCUGACGGUACCCAAAGAAUAAGCACCGGCUAACUUCGUGCCAGCAGCCGCGGUAAUACGAAGGGUGCAAGCGUUACUCGGAAUUACUGGGCGUAAAGCGUGCGUAGUGGUGGUUUAAGUCUGUUGUGAAAGCCCUGGGCUCAACCUGGGAAUUGCAGUGGAUACUGGGUCACUAGAGUGUGGUAGAGGGUAGCGGAAUUCCCGGUGUAGCAGUGAAAUGCGUAGAGAUCGGGAGGAACAUCCGUGGCGAAGGCGGCUACCUGGACCAACACUGACACUGAGGCACGAAAGCGUGGGGAGCAAACAGGAUUAGAUACCCUGGUAGUCCGCGCCCUAAACGAUGCGAACUGGAUGUUGGGUGCAAUUUGGCACGCAGUAUCGAAGCUAACGCGUUAAGUUCGCCGCCUGGGGAGUACGGUCGCAAGACUGAAACUCAAAGGAAUUGACGGGGGCCCGCACAAGCGGUGGAGUAUGUGGUUUAAUUCGAUGCAACGCGAAGAACCUUACCUGGUCUUGACAUCCACGGAACUUUCCAGAGAUGGAUUGGUGCCUUCGGGAACCGUGAGACAGGUGCUGCAUGGCUGUCGUCAGCUCGUGUCGUGAGAUGUUGGGUUAAGUCCCGCAACGAGCGCAAACCCCUUGUCCUUAGUUGCCAGCACGUAAAUGGUGGGAACUCUAAGGAGACCGGCCGGUGACAAACCGGAGGAAGGUGGGGAUGACAGUCAAGUCAUCAUGGCCCUUACGACCAGGGCUACACACGUACUACAAAUGGUAGGGACAGAGGGCUGCAAACCCGCGAGGGUAAGCCAAUCCCAGAAACCCUAUCUCAGUCCGGAUUGGAGUCUGCAACUCGGCUCCAUGAAGUCGGAAUCGCUAGUAAUCGCAGAUCAGCAUUGCUGCAGGUGAAUACGUUCCCAGGGCCAUUGUACACACCGCCCGUCACACCAUGGGAGUUUGUUGCACCAGAAGCAGGUAGCUUAACCUUCGGGAGGGCGCUUGCCACGGUGUGGCCGAUGACUGGGGUGAAGUCGUAACAAGGUAGCCGUAUCGGAAGGUGCGGCUGGAUCACCUCCUU